rnacentral:rRNA from 1 species
GACGAACGCUGGCGGCGUGCCUAACACAUGCAAGUCGAGCGGAGAAUACAGCAAUGUAUUCUUAGCGGCGGACGGGUGAGUAACGCGUGGGCAACCUGCCUUUUACAGGGGGGAUAACACAGGGAAACUUGUGCUAAUACCGCAUAACAUAGCGAAAUGGCAUCAUUUUGCUAUCAAAGGAGUAAUCCGGUAAAAGAUGGACCCGCGUCCGAUUAGCUAGUUGGAGAGGUAAUGGCUCACCAAGGCGACGAUCGGUAGCCGAACUGAGAGGUUGAUCGGCCACAUUGGGACUGAGACACGGCCCAGACUCCUACGGGAGGCUG